CACUUCAACACCUCAUCCAAAAUUUCCCACUGACUAAAAGAGAACGAAAGUGUUUCCGUUUGGUCCUGUCCUAAGACAUUUCCGAAAAACAAGGACUGCCGACGCGAAUAUACAGUCACGUGCCGUGACUCGGAUUCGAACCGAGGUUGCUGCGGCCACAACGCAGAGUACUAACCACUAUACGAUCACGGCGCGCUACCUUCGCGGCGGCGCAGUGCGGCUGGAUUUAAUAUCCUUUGAAACAGAAUUAUCUUACUGUAGCUUUCUUUGCCUAGUUGGCGCUAUUCGCACAUAAACCCAAAUGUUUCCACUCACAACUUCGAAGCCAGGUCUGACACCCGAAUCUGGGUCCCAGAAUCCCAGGGUGCCUGCACCAGUGUCACCCCUCUGCUGGGCGGCGGCGCACUGUCGAGAUCUGAGAGGUCUGUCGCCUGCAGCCGGGGGACCGCGUCCCCAGUCGCCUUCCUCAAACCACUUCUUUCUUUCCCCUGCAAAUAUUCGAGGCGUUCGGCCUAUUUACACCUCCACCUGGUACCCUGGAGCUGACGUUUGUUUCCUGAAUGUUGGAACCGAAAGAGAAGCGGAGUUGGUGAGUUGCGAAAGGCUUUGAGGUCCCUUUAUUUUUUUCUUGCUUCCCUCACCGUUCCUCGGCGCCCGCUCUCAGAAACUAAGGACUCUUGGGCAGACUCUUCAGUAAAUCUAAGCCGCCUAGGAGUGUUCAGAAAAACAAAUCAAAUCAUAGUCCUUUUCGGACAUUACCUAAAGGCCCCCCAAAGGACAAUUAUCUUAAACAGGUGCGAAGCAAGAGGCCAAACCCAGCAGACAGGCUUGGCUUGGUAGCAGCAAGAAACGUGGAGCUUCACUCUCGCUUGAAACUCCCUGAAGGAUUAGACUUUGAGGACAAAUGGUCAAAAGAUCUUUCUCCCUCCGUUUGGCCUGACAAAAAUAAGAGGCGCUGCGUUGGCCGGGAAUCGAACCCGGGUCAACUGCUUGGAAGGCAGCUAUGCUCACCACUAUACCACCAACGCACACAGGAAGCUAAGGUCACCCAUGUGGGAACUGAGUAGAAGAAACGAAGUUAAUCAUGAAAAGUAUUCAGGAGAGAAAACGAAUGUUUCCCUGACCGGGAAUCGAACCCGGGCCGCGGCGGUGAGAGCGCCGAAUCCUAACCACUAGACCACCAGGGACGAUAGCAAAGUGUUGCGGAUACGAAUAUAUGAGGCUUAGUAAGUUUGUGUCUUUGCUUACGCAUUCUGUGACGUGUGUUCUUUCAGCUAUCUAGAUUUUGAGAUUCUUGACUACUGGGCCCUCACUCCGCCGAAACUACUUUUUCCUCGUAGAAAACUAUCUUUUUUUCUUGAAGUAGAAAAUCCUGAAAAGAACGCUCCAGCUUGGCUCCGAAAGCUAAGUAAGUAUCGUAUGCACACGAUCGCAGUUUCCAAAAUUAAAGACAACUGUCCGGAGAAAAGAUCGAAAGACUAAUAGGAAACUCUCAGCUUCCCGUGUUUGCAGUUAUUUCCUGAAUUGCGAUCAGCGGAAAAGCAAAAGCCUCUAGCUGGGCUCUCCCAGGAAUUUUUCCUUAAGGAAUAUAGAGGUCCUAUAGCAGUUUUUUUUUUUUUUUUAAUCGCUUGUGAAUUUAGGCCAAACUUUAUUGACCAAAGCGAACAUUACAGACAAGUAAAAGUAAUUCAGCCUAUGGUUGGUUGGUUGUCAGCAGGAUCUGAGCAUAAUUCGCUUGUGGGAGACUAAGAGAAGACUUUUGGAGCUUCAAAAAUUUCAAAUAUGAAGACGGAAGAGAGGGAGACAGGAGAAAGAAAAGAAAACUGGAGUGAAUACCUAGACUGAAGGAAUCUUAAAAACCAUACCCCUCAAUGUAUGUAAAUUUGCUUUAUAGGAGACAGAAAGCAAAUAUGACAAAAUGUUAACGAAUCUUGGUGAAGGGUAACUGAAAUUGUAUUAUUUUAAAUUUUUGUACGUUUGAUAUUUUUCAAAAUAAAAAUUUGAGAAAACCAAAAAUGAAAGAGACAAGUCUCCUCUCAGACAUUUUUUGGUCACUGUGAUUAAUUCUCUGCACAUAAGUUCAAAUAUAAAGUUUAAAAAGCAACCCCCACGAUUUAAGAUCAGAAAACACUUUUGAUAAUAAGUGAAAAAGAGAACUAAAAAAUUGAAGCAAAAAUCAGCACGGCCUGAUAGAAAAAAUGAAUGGUAGGAUGCCAGAUAUUUAUGGGGAGUUUACUGAUUCGUUUUGCUUUCAAAGUAUCAAUAUUAAAGAGUUGUGUAAGGAAAGUGUCAAUCCUCUGGUCAUCCAAUCCACACUUUCCUAGGGAGAAGAGUACAUAAACACUAGAGAUUUAUUUUCACAAAACCCAAGUAAUCCUGGUGUCACAAGUCACCAAGGAACCCAACAAAGCCCACUUUCUUUUACUCCGUCUCUGUUCCCACUGGGCAGCUACCUGUAUGCAAAUGCUGAAGAAGAAAAAAAUCAAACCCUCAGAGCAACAUUUUGGGGUUGUACAAAAUGGGGUUGUACAAGGCAAUCCACUUUAUUUUUCUAUGGCACAAAGGAAAUCAAUCAGCCUCCUUAAGCUUUGGUCAACAGUCUACUUUCACCAGUUAUUCUGCCACCUGCUGGUAAUUUUCAGUAACAUGAAAAAUUGGGAAGUACUGCAGUAUUAGCUCUUGCUUGGAGCAAGCCUCCUUUCUCAACCUCAAAGCACCAGGAGAAAUCUCAUCAUUCAGAACAGGAUUAAGCCUCCUCCUUCCUGGCACCACACACCUAAAGAUGAAUGAGGGGGAGUACAAUUCAUUUACUUCAUUCCAUGUUCUAUUUUCUUUUUUCCUUUUUGCAAACAUUUACAGAUUACGUGCCAGAGUAGGUACCGAAGAUACAAAAAAUAUACAUAAAGAGCUCACAAUCUAGAGGAAAAUCAAAUAAGUGAAUAAAAGAGAAUGGAUCGGAGGAGAUUGAGUGGAUGUUCUUUCCUCUGUUCUCCCUGCUAAUACCACUAAAAACCCUGGACAUUUCAUAUAGGACAAACAUACAAGACUCUGAAAAAUAGAAAGCAGCAGACUAGCAAGGGGCCUCAGAGCCCAAGGAACCACAGUGAUGACUUCCCUGGGUUUUCUUAGUGUCUCAUAUGCCCCAGACUUGGAGCUGAAGAAGCUGGCAACCUGGAAAUGCAAUGGAUGCAGCCAAAUAAAACCAAACAAAACCAAAACAAUAACAACAAAAGCCUGCUCUCGCUAGUCACAAGACUGGGAAAGAGGUAGCCUAGCAAAAUAAAAAAACUUUUAGAUAAUAACUGCUCUAUUCCA